UACGUAGGGUGCAAGCGUUGUCCGGAAUUAUUGGGCGUAAAGAGCUCGUAGGCGGUCUGUUGCGUCGGCUGUGAAAACCCGGGGCUCAACCCCGGGCCUGCAGCCGAUACGGGCAGACUAGAGUUCGGCAGGGGAGACUGGAAUUCCUGGUGUAGCGGUGAAAUGCGCAGAUAUCAGGAGGAACACCGGUGGCGAAGGCGGGUCUCUGGGCAGUAACUGACGCUGAGGAGCGAAAGCGUGGGGAGCGAACAGG
rnacentral:rRNA from 1 species